GCAGGAAGGGCCAGCUGCUGCCCUCCUCCGCGCGGGUCCUGACCGUACUCCAGCGCACGGGCAUGUGGGGGGGCAUAUCGUCCUGCCUCCCUCCUCCACUCCUGAUCAAAUGCUGCUGCCUCACCUGACGACAAACAGUCCGUUUUAUAAUGGAGGAGAUCUGGCUGAUGUUUCAUGGAGCUUCAGGCGGUGUUUGGAGAUGCGUUGAACUGCACCUGCUCUCUGUACAUGAUGACCCUGACAUUACAACUGAACACUCCCAUCUGAAAAAGGAUAACUUCUCUCUUCCGGAUCAAGCUGCACGCUCCACUUAUAUAAAACACACUGAAAAUGUUUUGAGAAAACUGGCAGAGAAUAAUUACAACAAAGUUUGUCAAAACUCUUGAUCAGUUGAUGAACCAUCUCUGUUUUCUCUCCCGUUCAUGUUUUUAAUUUUUCUUUUUACAUCUUUGUAAUGAAUUAAAGUGUUUGCUCUGGUA